CCCAGUUCUACCUGCUCAGGACACAAGGAAUUAGGAUAGGCCUGUACAUAUUAGAACCCAGCCAACGUGCGCCGUCAGAUCUUUCUUCUACCUGUGAAGCAGGCUUAAUUUCUUUGAACCAUUCAAUAAAUUGGUGACCUAGAGACAUCCCCAUCACUCUGCUUCAAGGAAACUAUAUGUCAGUCCUCUCAAAAGGUGGCGCUGCAGGCUAUAUUUCAGAUGAGAUCAUAUAGGCUUCAGAUGUCUGACAAGCAUUCAAAUGCAGGAGAAUGGCCGGCACAUUAUCAGAAGAAUGCAUGAAGUAACAAGGAGUUUCCAGGAGCAGAGGCUUCAAGUAGCUCCCUAAUGAAGAGCUGGGAGAUAGAUUUCAUCACAUACAAGCUAUAGAGAUGUUAAGUGGCAGAGCUAAGCUUUAAGCACAGGCAAUCCAGCCCCAGAGGCUGAGCUCUUAACCAACCUCUACUGCCCCAUCUGUUUUCAUCAGUUAUGGAGUAGGUUGCAAGAAAGAAACAUGGUGGCCACAAAAAGAAACAAAGACUCAACCAUUUAAAAUGAAGGAUCUCAUAAAUAUUGAUGAACAAAAUUGACCUGAUAGAAAAUCAUGGACUCGCCUCUUUCAAUAUGAAAAUUUGAACUUGCACAAACAAUUCAGCAAGGCUGUAUUUUCCUGAAAAUGAUGAAAGUCAUUGCUCAUCAGAGAUUGUCAUUAAAAUGAGGUCUUUUUGUACCUGAGGAAAGACAUCUUGAUGCUGCUGGCUCAGAGAGAUUUGGAAAAAUACAUCAAAAUAAAUGAGGCACCAUUACCACCCAGCCUGCCACGACUUUCAAAGGAUUAAACUACAAAUCCAU
rnacentral:lncRNA from 1 species